rnacentral:lncRNA from 1 species
ACUAUUCAUGCUAGCAUAAUUAAAUAUAUAUUUAAAAUGACUAUGAUUUAAGUAGAUUAGAUUAAUCAGAGUGGCAGCAGUCACUUAUAUUAAUGUCCACGGUAUUAUGGUGAGAGUUAUGAUACUCCCAGCUAGUCCAUGAUCAUACAAGUCUAUUAAAAAGCUUUCAAUUAAAACUGAGUCUCUGCUACAUAAAGAGUCUGGAAGCAUGUGGCACUAUUUUCCCAACCAGAUUCUCCCUGAACUGAGGCUAACUCUGGGUCUGGUUUAGACUGGUAGUAAAGAGGAGGAAAAACAGUUCUGGACAAGAAACCAGAAGACCUACUUUUUUGUUCUCAGCUCCUCCCUUAUCUAAUUGGGCCAUUUUGAUUUAUUAUUCCUUGAGAACAAUCUUGACUCCUUAGUGAUUAAGCGAAUAAGUAAUUAAUACAAGCCUUGAAGUGCUGUUCAAAGAAAGGUGGGGUUGGAAAUGGAACCAGAAAUUUCUGGAAAGUUUGAGACCAUCUAUAAAUCAAGAAUUUACCAACUUUGUCUAGAUUGUUUACACUGAAAUUUUUCUUUCCAAUGACACAAAAUUGGGCAAUGGAUUUGUUUGCUGAUCAUGUUGAUCUGGCCUAAGGUAAAAGGAAAACAGUAGAGAAAACAGAAAGUCCAGGGAGAGAAAUGUGGACAUAUUGCAAUCAUUGGAGCAGAUUUGUCACAUGUAUAAGUGGUCCCUCUUCUUUGUUUGAGAGGCACAACCUUGCCGCACUGUAGUCACACUUACAAGAGAAAGCCACACUGUUCCAUGGAGCCUUAAAUGAUAUCAUAUGACAGCCAGGGUUCUUUAUCGCAGAUGGCAAAGCACAUUCCAGCUAGUUUAAACAGGAAUGGAUUUACUAAGGCACAGAUGAUAAUUUAUGAUCCAUGGGGAAGGGUCAGGGAACCAGAUUUGUUUUUUAUGGUCAGGAAGAAAACGCCCAACCACAUCAUGAAACUCUUCUACGAGAACUGACCAUGCAGUUAUACUCAUUCCUAGGAACCUAUGGCUGGCCUGGAUGCCAAUAUUCUGCUAUGCUGUUCCGAAUAUCUGACUUCCGUUUGACCAGCUGCCACGUUAUGCAGCCCUGCUUUUGGCUUUCCUGACGUAUGAAACCUUGACUGGCGGCACAGCAGAGCAGUGUGCUUAGGAAAGGUCAGGGGAGAUGGUGUUCUGCCUCCUGACAUCAUCAGGAAAAUCUUUGACCUCCUUGUAAUUACAGAUCUUUAUCAACGGCCAGGAGAAGAGCUUGUGAGGAUGCAGUUUGAGUUCCAAAUCCCAGGCUGACCAUGGAACAGAAAGAUUGAGAAAAAUCUCUCUGACUUGUAAACAGAAAAUUUCAAAUGGAAAUCAUUGAGAAAAAAACAAAUAUUGACUCAGGAUAACAGUUUAAAACUACACUUUAAAAAUGCAGCAGGCCGGAUUCUCUAGGACAACAAUAGCUGCCCUUUCCUAUUUGAUGUUUUUAUUGUCUGAUUUUGAUGUGAAAUUUUUGUCCUUUGAUGUCUAGAUUGUCAGGACACAUAUGCCUGUUAAUUACUUUAUUUAGAAAUACCAUUGUUCAGAUGUUAACAUGCCUCAUGUUUGGACAUCCUGGGGACAAAAAGGCUCUCUAGGGGGUAUUUUGCCUGAUGAAAAUGUUGUUCCUGAAUAAUCACUCUUUCCCAGCAUAAGUAUGCUAAUAAAUACCACUAAUGAGC